rnacentral:tRNA from 1 species
GAAGGUAUACCUCAGUGGUAGAGCACAAGCUUAGCAGGUACUAGGUCCUGGGUUCAAUCCCCAGUACCUCCA